rnacentral:rRNA from 1 species
AGUGAACGCUGGCGGUAGGCCUAACACAUGCGAGUCGAACGGCAGCACAGUAAGAGCUUGCUCUUACGGGUGGCGAGUGGCGGACGGGUGAGGAAUACAUCGGAAUCUACUUUUUCGUGGGGGAUAACGUAGGGAAACUUACGCUAAUACCGCAUACGACCUACGGGUGAAAGCAGGGGAUCUUCGGACCUUGCGCGAUUGAAUGAGCCGAUGUCGGAUUAGCUAGUUGGCGGGGUAAAGGCCCACCAAGGCGACGAUCCGUAGCUGGUCUGAGAGGAUGGUCAGCCACACGGGAACUGAGACACGGUCCAGACUCCUACGGGAGGCAGCAGUGGGGAAUAUUGGACAAUGGGCGCAAGCCUGAUCCAGCCAUACCGCGUGGGUGAAGAAGGCCUUCGGGUUGUAAAGCCCUUUUGUUGGGAAAGAAAAGCAGCAGGUUAAUACCCCGCUGUUCUGACGGUACCCAAAGAAUAAGCACCGGCUAACUUCGUG